AUGUCCCACAAAGAUUUUGUCCUUGUGGCCGUGACACUCUGGUCGAUUUGGUACGCUAGGAGGAAAGCCAUCCAUGAGGCGAUCUUCCAAAGUCCCCACGCCACACAUGGUUUUAUCAUGAGCUUCAUCUCUAAACUGGAAGGGAUAAAGGGCAGCCAAGAGCAAAGAGACAGGGUCGUGCUGACGCCCAUACAUAGAAAUUUGAAGCCGAAAAAACCACCAACAGGAUACUGCAAAAUCCAUGUUGAUGCAGGAGUCCAGGGAAGGACAGGGGGUGCAGCCGCUGCAGUCUGCAGGGAUGAAGGUGGUAAUUAUCUUGGCAGCUCUGCUCUUGUGAUUGAAGGUGUUACCGAUCCAGCAAGUCUAGAAGCAAUAGCAUGCCGGGAGGCACUAGCCCUCGCCGAGGACUUGGACAUUCAUCAUUUUGUGGUUGCUUCGGACUGCCAGCAGGUGGUGUCGGAUAUCAGGAGAGAUGGCCGAGGUCCAUAUGGAGCAAUCAUCAGCGAGAUAAAUCUGAAAGUUUCAUCUUUCCAUUGUACUUUUACUUUCGAAAGUCGUGCUGUUAAUUAUGAAGCACAUAGCUUAGCAAAAUUUUGUUUAAAUAGGGGUCCGGGCAGGCACGUUUGGCUUGGUGCCCCUCAUGACCCAAGAUGUAUCCCACUCAAUGUGGAAUUCCAUGAAUAA
rnacentral:rRNA from 1 species